rnacentral:rRNA from 1 species
ACCAUGAACAUGGGUAAGAUACUGGGAGGCUUAGAGGAUUGUUCGGGGUAUCGGAACAGUUGGUGUAGCGGUGAAAUGCGUUGAUAUCAACUGGAACACCGAAGGCGAAGGCAGAUACCUGGAAUUUUCCUGACGCUGAGGCACGAAAGCUAGGGUAGCGAAACAGAUUAGAGACCUGUGUAGUCCUAGCCGUAAACUAUGGAUGCUAGACUCCCGUAACAAAGGGCAAAAGUCAUUUGAAAUUUAUAUUCAGAUCUUGUGUUUUUUGUUAUGGGAGUCGCAGCUAACGCGUUAAGCAUCCCGCCUGGGGAGUACGGCCGCAAGGCUAAAACUCAAAGGAAUUGACGGGGACCCGCACAACCAGUGGAGCGUGUGGUUCAAUUUGAGACGAAGCAAAAAACCUCACCAGGGAUUGAC